GAGAGGACCGGGAUGGACGAACCUCUGGUGCAUCGGUUGUUCUGCCAAGGGCAUAGCCGAGUAGCCAAGUUUGGACGGGAUAAACGCUGAAGGCAUCUAAGCGUGAAGCCCCCCUCAAGAAGAGAUAUCCCAUAGCAGAAGCUAGUAAGACCCCUGAGAGACGAUCAGGUAGAUAGGUCGGGAGUGGAAGCAUGGAAACAUGUGGAGCGGACCGAUACUAAUAGGUCGAGGGCUUGACCUA
rnacentral:rRNA from 1 species